GUCAAGUCAUCAUGCCCCUUACGUCCAGGGCUGCACACAUGCUACAAUGGCCGGUACAGAGGGCUGCGAUCUCGCGAGAGUGAGCCAAUCCCACAAAGCCGGUCUCAGUUCGGAUUGCAGUCUGCAACUCGACUGCAUGAAGUCGGAGUCGCUAGUAAUCGCAGAUCAGCAACGCUGCGGUGAAUACGUUCCCGGGCCUU
rnacentral:rRNA from 1 species